AAUUUGGCCCUUUACCCCUGUUGGAGUCCUCCUAACGAUAUCUACCCACUCGAUUCUAAAUCUUUUUGUUUUGCCUUUUUAUUUUUUAAUAUUCCUAUAGUACCCUUUUGAAAUAUUAAAAACAAAUUAAACGAAAAGUCCAUUGUUCCCUUCUCUGUUUUUUUUUUUCUUUCACUUCCCUUCGAGUUAUACUCCUUCAAAAUCUUCACCGGCUCUUCUCUUCUCCUUCCUCACCCUUCCCCUAGAAACACUAGAUUUAGGGUUAGGGUUUGAGUUUUGAAUUUCCCAUUCAAACGUAAUUGACGACGGUGUAUAAGUAUUCAAAUGUGUGAGCAUUAGACGCUGAACUAAAGCGGUCAGAUCCCAAACAAAAUAAAAACAGAGAGAGAGAGGAAACAAUGAAGUAAUGGCAAGCAAGGAAGAGAGCGCAGUGAAGGAGACUGCUCUUGCCAAUCUUAUUGUAAGCUUUUUUUUGUCAUAGCUUAAAAAAAUGACCCACUGUGUUUUCAAUUUUGUUUUCAGUUAGGUAUUUACGCUAAUCUGAUCAUAUACCAAGAUAAUUCCUUGCAAGCAGUAUGGUCAAACAAUGAAAGUGGUCGAACACUUAUUAGGGUGGAUAUUGUUAAUUGAGGAUUUCAAUAUUUGACCCUCGUCCUGGAAUGGAUGGCAGUGAUGAGAAUUCAAUUGUAAAGUGGGUAAAGAUGGGUGCAUCACUUCACAGGUCUUCAAAAGGACAGGCAAUAGGGUUAAAACCUCCAUACCUUAUGAUGGGUGGAUAAAAUCCUUGAGGCAUUAAGAGGAUAUGACCACUAGAGGACUGGCUGUUAAUUGUUUAGGAGAAAAAAGCAGUUGCUUGUUUUUAUUCCUUAAAUUUAAAAUGAGCUCUCCUUGGUUUCCUCCAGAUGCAGGUAUCUGAGAUGAUGUGAGAGGUGUAGAAUAAGGCAGCAACACAAACAUGGAAAAGUUUGAAGUUUCUAUUUAACGUGAUUGCAUGCCAGCAGCAAUACAAUAUGUUGGAAUGUUUAACAUCCUGAACAGCUCAUAUCUGGUAGCUAGAUCAUUCUUUUGAAGUUAGUGAAGAGUAAUAAUUUUAUGGAAAGCCAGCUUUCCUACUUGUAUAUAUGUUUAUAAUUUUCCAAAGAUGAAGUUUUGAUAAUGACCCUACAUCUUUUUUACUGUGCCUUAACAAUGAGUUGUUACCACUCUUAGUAAAAUAAUGAACACUAGUGUAGUUAUGAUUCAUGUCCAAGUAGUAUUUGUUCCUUUUCAAUGAUGUUAUUGUAUAAUACUUCUGUACAUUGUAAGCAAAUAAUGGAAGCUCACUUUAAUAUGUUUUCUA